UUUCCGUAGGUGAACCUGCGGAAGGAUCAUUACAGUAGUCGCCCGGGUUGCCGCAAGGCCUCCCGGGUAACCUACCACCCUUUGUUUAUUACACUUUGUUGCUUUGGCAGGCCUGCCCUCGGGCUGCUGGCUCCGGCCGGCGAGCGCUUGCCAGAGGACCUAAACUCUGUUUGUCUAUACUGUCUGAGUACUAUAUAAUAGUUAAAACCUUCAACAACGGAUCUCUUGGUUCUG
rnacentral:misc_RNA from 1 species